AGUCGAGCGGACAGAAGGGAGCUUGCUCCCGGAUGUUAGCGGCGGACGGGUGAGUAACACGUGGGUAACCUGCCUGUAAGACUGGGAUAACUCCGGGAAACCGGAGCUAAUACCGGAUAGUUCCUUGAACCGCAUGGUUCAAGGAUGAAAGACGGUUUCGGCUGUCACUUACAGAUGGACCCGCGGCGCAUUAGCUAGUUGGUGGGGUAAUGGCUCACCAAGGCGACGAUGCGUAGCCGACCUGAGAGGGUGAUCGGCCACACUGGGACUGAGACACGGCCCAGACUCCUACGGGAGGCAGCAGUAGGGAAUCUUCCGCAAUGGACGAAAGUCUGACGGAGCAACGCCGCGUGAGUGAUGAAGGUUUUCGGAUCGUAAAGCUCUGUUGUUAGGGAAGAACAAGUGCGAGAGUAACUGCUCGCACCUUGACGGUACCUAACCAGAAAGCCACGGCUAACUACGUGCCAGCAGCCGCGGUAAUACGUAGGUGGCAAGCGUUGUCC
rnacentral:rRNA from 1 species